rnacentral:tRNA from 1 species
GCACCGGUAGCUCAAUUGGAUAGAGUACCUGGCUACGGACCAGGAGGUUAGAGGUUCGAGCCCUCUCCGGUGCA